UACGGAGGGUGCGAGCGUUGUCCGGAAUCACUGGGCGUAAAGGGCGCGUAGGCGGACUCUUAAGUCGGGGGUGAAAGCCCAGGGCUCAACCCUGGAAUUGCCUUCGAUACUGAGAGUCUUGAGUUCGGAAGAGGUUGGUGGAACUGCGAGUGUAGAGGUGAAAUUCGUAGAUAUUCGCAAGAACACCAGUGGCGAAGGCGGCCAACUGGUCCGAUACUGACGCUGAGGCGCGAAAGCGUGGGGAGCAAACAGG
rnacentral:rRNA from 1 species